AUAUAAAUUCCCUAUAGACUUAUGAAUAUUUGAUAGUAUUUCACCUUGUUUAGGAAGCACCUCAUGAAACAUGGAUUUCACCUCUGGCAUCUUGAAAAUCGUCUCUGUAAACACCAAUAUAAGCAGAGAUUUAUUGGAAGAUCACUAAUGAAUAUUCUGCAACUACUACAUAUUCAAGGUAACCUGUCUGUGAAAGUUGAAAUAUGGGAUGCACACAGUAUGGAAUCAACUCUUACACAGGUGUAAAUGUAGCUUUACCAACAAAAAAGGUUGAAAGGUAGUGUGUUGAUAUCUCAUCCUGUCCCAGUACCUGUCUCAGUACCAACCUUAUCCCAGUGACUGUCUCACUCUGUCCAAUUACCUCCCUUACCCCGGUGUCUGUCUUGCUCUGUCCCGGUAUCUCUCUUACCCCGGUGUCUGUGUCGCUCUGUCCCGGUAUCUCUCUUACCCCGGUGUCUGUCUCGCUCUGUCCUGGUAUCUCUCUUACCCCGGUGUCUGUCUCGCUCUGGCCCGGUAUUUCUCUUACCCCGGUGCCUGUCUCGCUCUGUCCAAUUAUCUCUCUUACCCCGGUGCCUGUCUCGCUCUGACCCGGUAUGUCUCUUACCCCGGUGUCUGUCUCGCUCUGUCCCGCUAUCUCUCUUCCCCCGGUGUCUGUCCCGCUAUCUCUCUUCCCCCGGUGUCUGUCCCGCUAUCUCUCUUCCCCCGGUGUCUGUCCCGCUAUCUCUCUUCCCCCGGUGUCUGUCCCGCUAUCUCUCUUACCCCGGUGUCUCUGUCUCGGUAUCUCUCUUACCCCGGUGUCUGUCUCGCUCUGUCCCGGUGUCUCUCUUACCCCGGUGUCUCUCUUACCCCGGUGUCUCUCUUACCCCGGUGUCUCUCUUACCUCGGUGUCUCUCUUACCCCGGUGUCUCUCUUACCCCGGUGUCUCUCUUACCCCGGUGUCUCUCUUACCCCGGUGUCUGUCUCGCUCUGUCCCGGUAUCUCUCUUACCCCGGUGUCUGGCUCGCUCGGUCCCGGUAUCUCUCUUACCCCGGUGUCUGGCUCGCUCUGUCCCGGUAUCUCUCUUACCCCGGUGUCUGGCUCGCUCUGUCCCGGUAUCUCUCUUACCCCGGUGUCUGGCUCGCUCUGUCGGUAUCUCCUCUUACCGGUGUCUGGCUUCGCUCUGUCGGUAUCCUCUCUUACCGGUGUCUGUCGCUCUGUCGGCUGUCCAUUAUCUCUCUUACCCCGGUGUCUGUCUGGCUCUGUCCCGAUCUCUCUGCCCGGUGUCUGUCUCGCUCUGUGUCGGUAUCUCUCUUACCGAGUGUCUGUCUCUCUUACCCCGGUGUCUCUCUUACCCCGGUGUCUGUCUCGCUCUGUCCCGGUAUCUCUCUUACCCCGGUGUCUGGCUCGCUCGGUCCCGGUAUCUCUCUUACCCCGGUGUCUGGCUCGCUCUGUCCCGGUAUCUCUCUUACCCCGGUGUCUGGCUCGCUCUGUCCCGGUAUCUCUCUUACCCCGGUGUCUGGCUCGCUCUGUCCCGGUAUCUCUCUUAUCCCGGUGUCUGGCUCGCUCUGUCCCGGUAUCUCUCUUAUCCCUUUCUUUUCUCCCUCUGUCUCUAUAUUCCCGAUCCUGCUCCGAGGUUACCUAGUAACAUGUGACGUCAUCACGUUCUAUCCGUUCUGGCACCGCUAAGCAUGCCGGUUCGUGUAGUCCGUGUCUGAUCACGUGACAUGGCAUACAGGCUGUUAGUACAUGGUGAGCUGGAGAGGUUGCCCGGAGAUGUGAAGUCUGUGUCCCCCGGGCUGGGGAGGCUUGAUAGAGACCAUGCGGGUCCUGCUAGCGGGCUGAGGGGCUGAGGGCCGGGUAACCCGGAUGUGUUCAUUGUUAGUUGUUAAUAAAGUUUGGAAAG